rnacentral:rRNA from 1 species
AUUGAACGCUGGCGGCAUGCCUUACACAUGCAAGUCGAGCGGUAACGGGCCUUCGGGUGCCGACGAGUGGCGAACGGUGAGUAAUGUAUCGGGAACGUACCUUUCAGUGGGGGAUAACGUAGCGAAAGUUACGCUAAUACCGCAUAUUCUGUGAGCAGGAAAGCAGGGGAUCGCAAGACCUUGCGCUGAUUGAGCGGCCGAUAUCAGAUUAGCUAGUUGGUGAGGUAAAGGCUCACCGAGGCGACGAUCUGUAGCGGGUCUGAGAGGGUGAUCCGCCACACUGGAACUGAGACACGGUCCAGACUCCUACGGGGAGGCAGC